AAACCAGCACCUCAAGUGGUCAGGAUGAUUAUUGGGCCUAAAGCAUCCGUAGCCGGCUCUGUAAGUUUUCGGUUAAAUCUGUACGCUUAACGUACAGGCUGCUGGGAAUACUGCAGAGCUAGGGAGUGGGAGAGGUAGACGGUACUCGGGAGGAAGUGGUAAAAUGCUUUGAUCUCUCGAUGACCACCUGUGGCGAAGGCGGUCUACCAGAACACGUCCGACGGUGAGGGAUGAAAGCUGGGGGAGCAAACCGGAUUAGAAACCCCGGUAGUCC
rnacentral:rRNA from 1 species